CUAUCAGAUCGGCUCGUAUAAAACCUUACGCUGAAUGCGUUUCAGCUUUAGUAUCAUAGAUAUCGCAGAGCAGUGUGUGCGUGUUUGUUUCGUUAUUAUAUUUGUCUGUGGCAUUGAAUUGCUACUUUAAGCAGAAAUGUUGGAUAGACGGAUAUGCGGACUGCAGCUGCGUUCCCUUGGACUAAUGGCUCUACUGCUGCACUUAGUUGACCUCUCUACAGCUGCGCUAGACGGUUACGUGCCGGGGCAAGACUACCCGGCCUUCGAAGAGGUCCCUAAGGGCUUAUCGUUUACUUGUGAUGACAAGAUACCGGGCUACUACGCGGACCCAGAGACCAGCUGUCAGGUGUGGCACUGGUGCGUGCCCAGCAUUGGCGGCAACAUCAUGUACUCCUUCAUCUGCGCGCCCGGCACUGUCUUCAACCAGCGGACGAGGGUGUGCGACUGGUUCUUCCAGGUGGAUUGUCCCAAUUCUCCGGCUUUCUACGGUGUGAACGAAGACUUGUACAAGGAUGAGGCGGGCAACUACAUUGCUGGGAAAAAGAAGUAGAUUAAAUCACUAUUUAUAAGGCAGAAAAUAAUUAUUACAGUCCCGAAGGCUGUUUAUACUUAGAGGCUACGAAGAAUGACAACGAGGAAUCAGCAAUGCUGUAUUUGACAGACGAUACACAACGAGACAAAAAAGACACGAAGGCAGAAAACGACGAAUAAACAGACAAACGACUACUACAUAAUCGACUUACGACGAAAACCGAACCAAACCGAACUAUGACAAAUUUAAUUUAGGAAUUUCUGAUUGAAAAUCACAAAUAGCAUGUUUUUCUCUUUUCCUUUUAAUUCCUGUUCUUUUCCCUGUGUUCGCUUACGAUCUCUCCUCUCCUCUUUCUGAUCCUCUAUUUUAUUUCUUUAUUUAAGUAUAAAACUAUGUCGCUUUUAUUAUAAAACAAAAACAUAUCGCAAUUUUCGGUCUGACUGAAUGCGAUAAACACGAAAAUUACUUAACAGAUUAAUUGUUCGUUACAUACGGUUUUUUGAAUGAUAACUUGAUAGUGUGAGCUUUUAAAUUGUCUCACUAUCUAUAGUAUCAUUUGAGAUAUAGAUAUAUACUAAUUCGAUCCUCACACUUUCGAGAUAUAAUAACAUCAGUUAUUUUGUGAAAAUUGCUGAAAAUUAUAAAAACAUUUGCUGAAAAUAACAGAAAAAAUAGCUUUACUAGUUAGUCACUGCGCUAUCCGAUAUACUUGUUUUAUGCAUUGUUUUUAAAUUCAUUUUUAAUUACCAUCAUUGUCUGUCAGAUAAGAAAUCUAUAAACAUAAUAAAUCCUCCUUCUAUCUCCCCUGCCGUUCCAAUGUCCUAAAAUCAUUAUACAAAACCGUAUCUACAAUACAUGGAUUAGAUCUUCUUCUAAAACAGACAGAAGCAGACAGCGACUUAAGCUGGAUACAGAUCAAUGCAAUGUAACAUGUAAUGCAACAUGCAAUGCAAGAAUUUGACGUCCACAUUGCUGCAAUGUAUCACAAAUGCUCAUGGUUUGGACGCCUCGCGCUCACGAACUGCGCCUGGGUCGCGCACGCUCCGAGCAUUACAACUCGUGCGCGGCUCGAUCCGAGAUUUGCCGGUUUUAAGUACGAACACAAAGGGGCGCGCAGUGUACGCAGGACUCAGCUUCGUGAUUCGUAGUCAAUGCUCGUAAAUCGCGCCACACGUCAAGGCAGCGGGGAACAUGCAACGUAAGGUGUAUAUUACAUUACAUGUUGCAUGGCACCAAUCUGUAUCCAGCUUUAGGUUAUUCUACAUAUUUAGUAAUGUUCGUUCAUUUUAAUAGAACAAGAUCCAGGCGAUGUUACACGUUCAAAGUUACAAGUCUGCACCUAGCUUUAUCUAUUUAUGAGAUGUUUACAAUAGUAUGUGACUCUAGCAUGGAUUUCUGCAAAUUUACGUAUGUAUAAUAUAUUUUGUAUUAAGUCAAUAAUUGUAAAUAAUAAACGGUCUUUUUAUUUUUAUAAUAAAAAUAAUUGAAUACAA